GACGAACGCUGGCGGCGUGCUUAACACAUGCAAGUCGAACGGUAAGGCCCUUCGGGGUACACGAGUGGCGAACGGGUGAGUAACACGUGGGUGAUCUGCCCUGCACUUCGGGAUAAGCCUGGGAAACUGGGUCUAAUACCGGAUAGGACCAUUGCCUGCAUGGGUGGUGGUGGAAAGCUUUUGCGGUGUGGGAUGGGCCCGCGACCUAUCAGCUUGGUGGUGGGGUGAUGGCAUACCAAGGCGACGACGGGUAGCCGGCCUGAGAGGGUGACCGGCCACACUGGGACGGAGAUACGGCCCAGACUCCGACGGGAGGCAGCAGUGGGGAAUAUUGCACAAUGGGCGCAAGCCUGAUGCAGCGACGCCGCGUGAGGGAUGACGGCCUUCGGGUUGUAAACCUCUUUCAGCAUCGACGAAGCGCAAGUGACGGUAGGUGCAGAAGAAGGACCGGCCAACUACGUGCCAGCAGCCGCCGUAA
rnacentral:rRNA from 1 species